UUUAAUACAUGGGGGGCUAAUUUUGGAAACACCAGAAAAAUACAAAAGAAAAAAAACCCUACACCUAUCUUCUCCCCCAUUUUUUCAAACAGUCGUUGGCUACCCGCCCCCACCUUCUGAUUUUUCUUCUUCUUCAGCCGCCUGCACAAUAACUCUCCUCCCAAACAUAGCAGCCACCAUCUACCCAGCAGCUCCCUUUGAGUUUUUUCUUCUCCUGAAGCCAAAACGACACCGUCCCUCCUUUUCUUCUCAUUUUUUUCUUCCCGGCCGCUGCAACCAGACAGCCCUCCCGAUCUCCUUUCCCCUUCAUUUUUCCCUUCCUCUCGCCAGCCUAAACCCGACCACAACUCCUUCUCUUCCUCCGAUCUGCCUCACAACAGCCACGAUCCAGCACCCCUCAACUCUCACUUACGGCGUUUCCUCCUUCACCGAACAGACCCGACGGCCUCCGUUCCACCCGAGCAUCGACGACCGACCCACAACCAUCACAGACCGAAUCAGCUCUCCACCCGCCUCUGCCUGCUUCCUCCGGACCAGCCCGAACACAACGGUGCUCACGAACCCAUAUCUGCCCGUCGUCUUCCUCCAGCUCCUGCACAGUGCUGCCCGAUCUACCACCGACAGCUCCCCCCUACAACCUCCGGCCACAUGAAACAGGGAAGAUUGAUAAGGAAAGAACCUAACAGAUCUGCCUAAAAUGGAGAAAGAGAGAGAUGAGGCAGAUCCAAAAACAAGAAAAAAACUUAAAAUCAACUGCCUUAUGUGUAUCUUUGGGUCUUUGCAGGUGACGGUGACCCCACCGCCGGCGUGGGAAGAAGAGAGGAAGACGUGACCGACCCCCCCUUGUUUCUUCGGUGUUCCAUGCGGCGGCGCUUGAACCCACGCGCCGCCGGUGCUCUGCUGUCCUUUGCCUUCACAGAAGUGGUUCCAGCACUGUUAGGGAGUUUUUGAAUGGCUGUUUUUGUAAUUUUAGAAUUGUUUAAUGAAAUUUUUGCUUAAUGUAAUUUUUGUUAGUUUUGAGUUUUUGUACUUUGUAAAUGAUGUAAAAGAAAAGAAAAGAAAGAG
rnacentral:lncRNA from 1 species